CCUUGUACACACCGCCCGUCACACCAUGGGAGUUGGCUUUACCCGAAGCCGGUGCGCUAACCGCAAGGAAGCAGCCGUCCACGGUAAGGUCAGCGACUGGGGUG
rnacentral:rRNA from 1 species